rnacentral:rRNA from 1 species
UANGCCUUGACAUACUACAGAAUUUGACAGAGAUGUUGAAGUGCCUUCGGGAGCUGUAAUACAGGUGCUGCACGGCUGUCGUCAGCUCGUGUCGUGAGAUGUUGGGUUAAGUCCCGCAACGAGCGCAACCCUCGUCCUUAGUUACUAACGGUUCGGCCGAGGACUCUAAGGAGACUGCCUUCGUAAGGAGGAGGAAGGUGAGGACGACGUCAAGUCAUCAUGGCCCUUACGGCUAGGGCAACACACGUGCUACAAUGGUUAGGACAAUGAGAAGCGAUACCGCGAGGUGGAGCAAAUCUAUAAACCUAAUCUCAGUUCGGAUAGCAGUCUGCAACUCGACUGCUUGAAGCUGGAAUCACUAGUAAUCGUAAAUCAGCUAUGUUACGGUGAAUACGUUCCCGGGUCU